ensembl:lncRNA
AGUAAAAACUGUAAGAGUAAACACGCGGUCAAAACCGCAUGUAGGAGUCCAGCCUUGGUAGGGGGUGUAGGAGAGACUCCAAGGCGAUACCCGCUCCCCGUCACCCCCCCCGUCACCCCCCUGCUACUUGUGCCACUUUCCGCUCCGCCCGGUGCCUGGACAACCGACACCCCUCGGCGCAGAGGGCAGGACCCCGGGUUUGGCGUCUGGAUCGCGGCCGCGAGGUGCAGCGGGGACGCGAAGCAGUGGCGCCGGGGGCACCCAGAGCAGGUCCAGGCGGCGCCGGGUCCGUCCCCCCGCCCCGGCUCCCAGCUGCCCAAUCAGGGCGCGGCUCGGGCGCGCGCCGCGGCCAAUCAGGAGCUGCGGGAGAGGAGCCAGGAGCCGGCGGGCGCGGAGCAAGCCUAGAGAGUCGGGAGCCGGCGGCGGCGCUGCGGCCGCGAGGGAGGGCAGCGGGAGCAGUGGGGCCGGGCGAGGAUCCCCGGGCCAGCCCAGCGGGCUCUGCCGUGGCGACAUUCCGGCCGACACUUGGGACCCUGCGGGCGGCGUCGCAGGUUGAGGAAGUGAAGAGAAUAGGCAUAAAUGGUGGGAAAUUUCCAUCAACUUGGAAAACACAAUAGAAUAAAUAAUUCUUGGCCACGAGGUGAGAGCCCAGAGAGUCACAAGGUCAAAGGAUCCUGUCCCAUUUGUCUGUGGUGACAGCCCCCCUCCCCCCAAAAAGGAACGCCUCACCCUUGAACAAUGCAAGUGUCCCUGGGAAGCUGAAAAGGUACAUGCAAAUGAUGAAAUAAAUCACAUCAUUUUAGAAGUAAGUGGUGGUUAUACUUUUCUAUAUUUCCCAAAUUUUCUUUAGUGAGAGUGUGUUCCUUUUAUAAUAAAAUAUAUAUAAAUAAUGCAAAAAAUAGAUGCAAAAGAGGGAAAUUUACUGGGAGUGUGGAGAUGGGUUUAAAGGUGCCAUUUAAAGGUGCUGAGUUCCUUGCAUUUUAUAACAGGAUUAUUUUGCCCUAUAAGUCGUAACACUUCCUAACUUACCUGCUGUCUAAAUUUACAAUCUUCAAGAAUGUACUGGGUGUCAGCCAUACCUGUCACCCAUCAAAACCCAAGACCCUGCUCUAGGAGAGCAGAGCCAGCACUCAGGCAACAGAUAUUUAUUUGACUCUCACACUGUGCCAAGCCCACCCAGUGUGGCUAUAUUCCUGGCCACUAUCCCCAGCGGUUGGAGACCCCCUCUUGCCCCUGUCUCAGCAGACAUGAACUAGGGAUGUUUCUUGUUUACAGGGGGAUGGCUGCAUGAGGAUAAUGUCACAGUCAGCCUGGGGCCCUUGGAGCUGCUCCUCACGAGGCCCACUGCGGAGGCCUGAGUUUUUGCGUUCAGCUGCGUUGUUUUGGUUUCUGUGCCUGAGGUCUAUUUUGUUGGGGCAAGGACAGGGAUUCUUAGAAAAGGGAAGGAGAUAUCCUCUGCCUUACUGAAAACGGAAGUAAGGAAUUAUCAGUUCAGGGUCAGUGGAAGCCACAGUGCCUGGCUUCCUUUUGCUGUGCUCUUCUGGAAUGAGUUGGUUUUGUUUUGAACAUUCUGAAAGUGACAUGAGCUAGAUAAAUUGUUCUAGGGUGGAGCUUUCAACAGGGAGUCCAGAGAGCCCUAGGGGAUUCAUGGAGGGACUUUGGCAAAGGUGUCUGUGAAGCACCUGAAAUUUUAAAUAUGUUGCAUGUAUGUGUGUUUACUCGGAGAUGAGGGUCUCUGGCUUAAAUUGUACCUCAGAUCCAGAGAGCCAUGCUUAAAAAAAAGAAAAAAAAGGCUAAGACCCAGUUCUAGGGGGAGAUGUUCAAGUUUGAGUUACACAUCUUGGCCUUGACUCUAACUAGAGAACUCUUCCUAAUGGAUGAUGUGUUUGUAGUUGAAGUAUUAGUGUAAAUAGGCACAUCUCAGGUGCACCCACAGAAGCCUGUGCUGCAAGAAAGGUGAGGAAGGUUUCACUUCUUCAAGUGCUGGAAAGCUGGAAAUCCAGAAGUGCACAAUCCCUGCAGUUCUAAUGCUUCCUAUUCUCCUCUUUCUGUUGUCCUUGAGCCCACACAGAGUUCCCUUAACUCUGUAUUACCUGAAGAGUUAGCUUGUUGAAAUGAACACUAAUACCUCUUUUACCUGGUUUUUCUCUGGGCUCUAAGCAAAUCAGGUUGAUUUUUCCUGCAAUGGAAGGCUGGAUUCGGUGCAGGCCUUCAUGAUGAUGAUGAGAGCAGACAUGUACAGUGAGUGAACUGCCACGUGGCCGUUUAUCCAGUGCCCCACACAUGAGUGUUGACCUUCCCACCCUUGCUUCUUGUUUCUCCUCACAUUGCACAUUUUCUCUAGGUGACCUCCAAACCCUUGGCUGCCAAUACCUUUUAAUCUGUAUAAUCAAUACCUCUCUUCUUCUGACUUCUUGACCUGUUUAAUAGGCCCUAAGACGUCUCUGUGGUUGUCUGACAGGUGCAUCAAACUCACUGGGUUUAAAACUGAACUCAUCAUAUCCCUACCACCCCUCAAUCAUUCUUCCCUAUGAAGUCCUUCUGAAGGCCGGUGAAUGGCCAGAAACCUAUCCAGUCUUCCAGAGAUCUUUUUCAUCUGCCAACCACAUCACUGCCUCCCUCAAUCUAAAUGAGCUUCAAAUAGACUUUAUCCCCAUGUCUUGAUGAUCUUUCAUUUUAAAUGGCUCAUAAAAAAACAUCCCUCCUGUUUAUCCCUCAUCUUGCAAUGCCUGAUCACUAUAAUUACUAGGUGAUCUUCCCACCCUCCAGUCCAUCUUCCUCAUUGCUUCCAGAAUGAUUUUCCUAAAAUAUGAUUGAAUCGUAUCAUUUCUUCAUUUAAAAUUGUUUAAUUAAUCUCCAUUGCCCUCCAAAACCCAACCUUGGCAUGGCUUACAAGACCCUUCUGACUCCUCAUCUUUCCAGCCUCUCCUCUUCUCUCUUCUCUCUUCUCUCUUCUCUCUUCUCUCUUCUCUCUUCUCUCUUCUCUUCUUCUGAGCUGCUUGUAGUUCAGAAAGCACAACAUGCUUUCAUUCAUCUCCUACACUUUGUAUGAAUGUAUCACAUUUUAUUAUAGCUGUUUUUAAGUGGGGGAACUUAUAAAAAAAACUGUCACACUUCAAGGUUCUAAGUCAUGUACAAAACAGUCUAGCUCUGCAUCAUCCCCAUCCUUGCCUCCUGCCCAUUCCUAAUACCACCCCUAAAUCUCAGGUCGUCCUUGAACUUGAACCUCUUUUCUUAGCCUCAUCUUCACCUCACGCCAUGCCUUACUUGUAUCUCCAGAUCCUACCCCAUCACUGAUUCAUAUGUACUCCAGGGGUUGAGGUCAGUGAUGAGUGAUGUUCAAGAAUGGGUUAGGUAGGCAGGAGGUCUGGGGAUGAUGUGAGAGACAGGGAUGUCUAUUGCACAUACUUUUUGGUACCAAACUGGUUUUGCGUGUUAACACAACUGUUUAAACAUGGCUAAGUAAAAUGGCACCCUCUAAUUAAGUUGCAUUGUCCUGUUUUAUUCUUAUAGAUGCUAUGCUGCCAGCUUGGAAUCUCCCUUUUCCCUGCCCCCAACUAAUUUCUGUUCGUCUUUCAAGCCCCUUCCCAGGUAUCACCUUCCCUCAGUUAUUCUUUACUGACCCCAAGAUUGGACUGGGUGCCACUCCUCUGUGUGCUAAUGGCACUGUUGGGUUUACUGUAUUGUGAUUGUCUGUUUAUUUGCCUGUCUCCUUCUCUCUCUCUUAGUCUUCUCUCUAUCUCUAGAAUUUCACUAGGACAUGCCUAGCAAUAGGAGAUGCUGAAGAAAUG